UUCUUUGAUCCUCUUCCUGGCCUGCUCCUGCUUCUGCGUCCCAGGACAGAAUGACUGAGAACAUGAAGGAGUGCUUGGCCCAGACCAAGGCGGCUGUGGGGGACAUGGUGACCGUGGUGAAGACAGAGGUCUGCUCGCCCCUCCGCGACCAGGAGUAUGGCCAGCCCUGCUCUAGGAGACCCGAGCCUUCGGCCAUGGAAGUCGAGCCCAAGAAACUGAAGGGGAAGCGAGACCUCAUGGUGCCCAAGAGCUUCCAGCAAGUCGACUUCUGGUUCUGCGAGUCCUGCCAGGAGUACUUUGUGGACGAGUGCCCCAACCAUGGUCCCCCCGUAUUUGUGUCAGACACACCGGUGCCCGUGGGCAUCCCGGACCGGGCUGCCCUCACCAUCCCGCAGGGCAUGGAGGUGGUCAAGGAAGCCAGCGGAGAGAGCGACGUGCGGUGCAUUAGUGAGGUCAUACCCAAGGGCCACAUCUUUGGCCCCUAUGAGGGGCAGAUCUCCACUCAGGACAAAUCGGCGGGCUUCUUCUCAUGGCUGAUUGUGGACAAGAACAGCCGCUACAAGUCCAUAGAUGGGUCGGACGAGACCAAGGCCAACUGGAUGAGGUACGUGGUCAUCUCCCGGGAGGAGAGGGAGCGGAACCUGCUGGCCUUCCAGCACGGCGAGCGCAUCUACUUCCGCGCCUGCAGGGACAUCCGGCCCGGGGAGCGGCUGCGGGUCUGGUACAGCCAGGACUACAUGAGGCGCCUGCACAGCAUGUCCCAGGAGACCAUCCACCGCAACCUGGCCAGAGGAGAGAAGAGGUUGCAGAGGGAGAAGUGUGAGCAGGCUCUGGACACCCCAGAAGACCUGAGGGGCGCUAUUCAGCUCCCCGUGUUGAGACAGGGCAAAAGUCCCUACAAGCGUGGCUUGGAUGAGGGGGACGUGCACCCCCAGGCCAAGAAGAAGAAGAUCGACCUCAUUUUUAAGGACGUGCUGGAGGCGUCUCUGGAGUCCGCCAAGGUGGAGGCCCACCAGCUGGCACUGAGCACCUCGCUGGUCAUCAGGAAAGUCCCCAAGUACCAGGACGAUGCCUAUGGCCGGUGUGCCACAGCCAUGACCCACAGCAUGCAGGGCGUCAGCCGGGCCCAGGGGGACGGGGACUGGAAGACCCCCUCGGGGGUGGCCAAGGAGCCGGGCCCCCUGGAGGAUGAGGAAGAGGAGCCUUCGUCGUUCAAGGCCGACAGCCCGGCCGAGGCCUCCCUGGCGUCCGAUGCCCACGAGCUGCCCACCACCUCCUUCUGCCCCAACUGUAUCCGCCUCAAGAAGAAGGUGCGGGAGCUUCAGGCCGAGCUGGACCUGCUCAAGUCUGGGAAGCUCCCAGAGCCCCCCGUGUUACCGCCCCAGGCGCUGGAGCUCCCAGAGUUCUCGGACCCCACAGCCUCCGAGAGCAUGGUCUCGGGCCCCGCCAUCAUGGAGGACGAUGACCAGGAGGUCGACUCGGCCGAUGAAUCCGUCUCCAACGAUAUGAUGACCACGACCGACGAGCCGUCCAAGAUGUCCUCCGCCACCGGACGCCGGAUCCGGCGCUUCAAGCAGGAGUGGCUGAAGAAGUUCUGGUUCCUGCGGUACUCGCCGACCCUCAAUGAGAUGUGGUGCCACGUGUGCCGCCAGUACACGGUGCAGUCCUCCCGCACCUCGGCCUUCAUCAUCGGCUCCAAGCAGUUCAAGAUCCACACCAUCAAGCUGCACAGCCAGAGCAACCUGCACAAGAAGUGCCUGCAGCUCUACAAGCUCCGCAUGCACCCCGAGAAGACGGAGGAGAUGUGCCGCAGCAUGACCCUGCUCUUCAACACCGCCUACCACCUGGCCCUCGAGGGCAGGCCCUACCUGGACUUCCGGCCGCUGGCCGAGCUGCUGAGGAAGUGCGAGCUCAAGGUGGUGGACCAGUACAUGAACGAGGGCGACUGCCAGGUGCUCGUCCACCACAUCGCCCGGGCGCUGCGGGAGGACCUGGUGGAGCGCAUCCGCCAGUCCCCGUGCCUCAGCAUCAUCUUGGACGGGCAGAGCGACGACCUGCUGGCCGACACGGUGGCCGUGUACGUCCAGUACACCAGCAGCGACGGGCCCCCGGCCACGGAGUUCCUGUCCCUGCAGGAGCUGGGCUUCUCCAGCACAGAGAGCUACCUCCAGGCGCUGGACCGGGCCUUCACCACCCUGGGCAUCCGGCUGCAGGACGAGAAGCCCACGGUGGGCUUGGGCGUGGACGGGGCCAACAUCACGGCCAGCCUGCGGGCCAGCAUGUUCAUGACCAUCCGCAAGACGCUGCCCUGGCUGCUGUGCCUGCCCUUCAUGGUGCACCGGCCCCACCUGGAGAUCCUGGACGCCAUCAGCGGGAAGGAGCUGCCCUGCCUGGAGGAGCUGGAGAACAACCUGAAGCAGCUGCUGAGCUUCUACCGCUACUCGCCCCGGCUCCUGGGCGAGCUGCGCUGCACGGCCGCCACCCUCUGCGAGGAGACCGAGUUCCUGGGGGACAUCCGGGCCGUGCGCUGGGUCAUCGGGGAGCAGAACGUCCUCAACGCCCUCAUCAAGGACUACCUGGAGGUGGUGGCCCACCUCAAGGACGUCAGCAGCCAGACGCAGCGGGCGGACGCCUCGGCCAUCGCCCUGGCCCUGCUGCAGUUCCUCAUGGACUAUCAGUCGGUCAAGCUCAUCUACUUCCUGCUGGACGUGAUCGCCGUCCUCUCGCGCCUGGCCUACGUCUUCCAGGGCGAGUACCUGCUGGUGUCCCAGGUGGACGACAAGAUCGAGGAGGCCAUCCAGGAGGUCAGCCGGCUGGCCGACUGCCCGGGGGAGUACCUCCAGGAGUUCGAGGAGAACUUCCGGGAGAGCUUCAACGGGGUUGCCGUGAAGAACCUCAGGGUGGCCGAGGCCAAGUUCCAGUCCAUCAGGGAGAAGAUCUGCCAGAAGACCCAGGUCAUCCUGGCCCAGAGGUUCGACUCCCGCAGCCGGAUCUUCGUGAAGGCCUGCCAGGUGUUCGACCUGGCCGCCUGGCCCAGGAGCAGCGAGGAGCUCGUGAGCUACGGCAAGGAGGACAUGGUGCAGAUACUCGACCACCUGGAGGCCAUCCCCACCUUCUCCCGGGACCUCGGCCAGGAGGGGCUGGACCCGCGGGGCAGCCUGCUGACGGAGUGGCGGGAGCUCAAGGCCGAUUACUAUACCAAAAACGGCUUCAAAGACCUCAUCAGCCACGUCUGCAAGUACAAGCAGAGGUUCCCGCUCUUGAACAAGAUCAUCCAGGUCCUGAAGGUCCUCCCCACGUCCACCGCCUGCUGCGAGAAGGGCCGCAGCGCCCUCCAGAGGGUCCGCAAGAACCACCGCUCCCGCCUGACCCUGGAGCAGCUGAGCGACCUGCUGACCGUCGCGGUCAACGGACCGCCCAUCGCCAACUUCGAUGCCAAGCGAGCCCUGGACAGCUGGUUCGAGGAGAAGUCGGGCAACAGCUACGCACUGUCGGCCGAGGUCCUCAGCAGGAUGUCGGCCCUGGAGCAGAAGCCGGCGCUGCAGGCCGUGGACCACGGGUCCGAGUUCUACCCGGACAUGUAGGGAGCCAGCGGCAGAGUCCACGGAGCUGUUGAAUAUUUUUUUAAUCUAUACUCAUAAGCUUUGAUAUAUUAUAUAAAUCUAUAUUAUAUUAUAUUAUAUAUAUAUAUAUAUAUAAAACCCACACUGAAGAUUUUUAAAAAACCAAGGUGACACGUCCACCAGAAGCUACUAGGAGCUUUCAGAAAGGCACGACGUCGGACAGCGACGCCUGUCUACGACACUUGGCAGCUUGAACCUACGUGGCGACCCGUUUCCACUCACAGAAGCAUGUGCUGGGCCCCGCGUGUCCCCACCCGACAGCCACCGACAGCAUGAGCUAAGUGACGGGUCUCUGUCACGGCCUCUAGGUAGCUCGCUCUGUUCCUGUCGCCACUGGGGGGUGGAGGGAGGUGGGUUGGGCUUGGGGUUUAUGUUCUCGCCAUUUUUUCUGUUGGGUUUCAUGGUGGGGUUUGGGGGGUGGCUCUUGGCUUCUUCGUUGACAUUCUGGUCCCCGACUCCCACCUUGUGGGUUGGGGUGCCCUCCUCCCCCACCUGACGUCAGUGUGACGGAUUUGUUCUACUCAUUCCCUUCGCUGUCCCACAAACACAGGUGUCGGUGGUACUGUGAACCCUCCCCGCCCCCACCCGUCACCUCCCGUCCCUGGUGGUCUGUUCGCUCCCUCCAGGCCCCUGGAUUGAAAGACAGAACCCGUUCUCUGGAAGGCAGAAGGGCCUUAGAGCCGAGCUUGCAAUCCAGGGGAAGGGGAGGGCGGCUUUGGGCAUCCCUGUUGUCCAUGGUGGAGGAUCAGAUGGCAGAAUCCCACGCAGACCCAGGGCCGCUGGGAGACGAAAAGCCAGCAAAUCCAGACCCCCAACGGGGCGGCGAUUUUUGGCUAAAAACAAGUAAAAUGAAAAGUAUCUAUGGGAUCGACAUGGAUUAUUUAUACUCUGUCUUUAUAAUCAUAUACUGUUGGGGGGUAUUUUUGUUUUCCUUUCAUAAUCAAGCACCUGCAAGGUAGCUACGGAGCAGGAGCUGUCGAUGCAAGUUGUGCCCUGGGUUACGUGUCACUCUAAGAGCGUCCCCAGGGAGGUGGUCCGGGCUGGCGCCACGCUCCGCAGCCCAGCAGGAAGGUCCUGGGAGACUGGGCAGUGCUUCUAGGCCUGUGAGCUUCCUUUUUGUGAACAGGGUAGAGAUGUCCCAAAGAAAAGGAGCAAACAGGAAGCGGGACCAGAUUCUCAAGGCAUCAACUUGGACACACACACACACACACACACACACACACACACACCACAACCACAAUAUAAGCUUUAGAAAAGGCCACUUGCCCGCUCCCUGGGGCAGGCAGUGGUGUAGGCGAGGAGUCUGACCCGCGCUCCUCCCGUCAUUUCACCACAGUAUACCUCGCAGGGGAGUCUCCAGAUAUGUGCGUGAGCUGUUAAAGCUUCUCUUCACGUUCCCACACCUGAUUUGUGCGUAUUUUAUAUGCACAGAUCCUAAGGUGGACGCAGGUCGUAUUGGGGGAGGGACGGGGAUCUGGAUCCCGCGUCCCCGCUCGGCUGUCCCUCCCCAUUAGUGGAGGGUGUUGAGAUCUGGCCACAGGCGAGGCCCCCCGAACCUUGGCCUUUGUGGCUCAGACACUGUGCAGCUGCGGUGGCUCCCUUACUCUUGGUUUAUCUUGUGUCUGCGGCCUGGUGCCACCGUGAGAACCAGAGUGGAAAGGUCAUCAACACUGAACGUCACCGCCCCUUCCUGGCCCCGCCGGUCCUGCCCCUCACAGAUCCUUCCUCUCACCCCCAUGGUCUUGGUGCUAAGAUAACUUUAGAAUCAUUGCUGCUAGUCGAUAGCUUUUCAUUAUAAAUAUAUAUAUUAUAUU
rnacentral:lncRNA from 1 species